GGGUUGGUAGCUCAGUCGGUAGAGCAGUGGACUUUUAAUCCAUUGGUCGUGGGUUCGAAUCCCACCCGACCCACCA
rnacentral:tRNA from 7 species